rnacentral:lncRNA from 1 species
UCCAGGAGUAUGUGGAGCAGCUGCUGCACCCCCAGGACCCCACCUCCCUGGGCAAUGGUGAGGCAGCCCUAGGCGGCGGUAGGGGGUGGGGACGCUUGGAGUCUCCAGGUGCCAGGAUCCCUGUCCCCGCCGUCUCUGUUGGCAGACACCCUGUACUUCUUCGGGGACAACAACUUCACCGAGUGGGCCUCUCUCUUUCGGCACUACUCCCCACCCCCAUUUGGCCUGCUGGGAACCGCUCCAGCUUACAGCUUUGGAAUCGCAGGAGCUGGCUCGGGGGUGCCCUUCCACUGGCAUGGACCCGGGUACUCAGAAGUGAUCUACGGUCGUAAGGUGCUGUACUUCCCCGACCGCUGGUGGCAUGCUACGCUCAACCUUGACACCAGCGUCUUCAUCUCCACCUUCCUCGGCUAGCCAAAACAGCUGGCAGGACUGCCGGUCACACACCAGCACGUCCCACCUCGUGCUCACGGAUUUUAUUACACAGAUAGUGGCGGCAAUGGCCUCAGCCCAGCCCACCCUCACCUGCUUUUCCAGCCCACAAAGGGGGACGAUCACGGCCCAGCAAAAGCGAUGCUGAGAGGGGAAACAGUCCAGAGUCCAACAGCAGAACUUGGGGGAAGCGGUCGGGGU